rnacentral:tRNA from 1 species
GUCCUCGUAGCUCAGUUGGAUAGAGCAACCGCCUCCUAAGCGGUAGGUCGGCAGUUCGAAUCUGCCCGGGGACGCCA